rfam:Triticum urartu cultivar G1812 contig1202037, whole genome shotgun sequence.
UAACUCAGUUGGUAGAGUACAAAGCUCUUAACCUUAUGGACAUGGGUUUAAGCCCCAU